rnacentral:lncRNA from 1 species
GAAGCUGGCUUGGACCAACCAUGGCACACUGCGCUACCCUCCCUGGUCCUUUCUCCCCAGAGCUUGAGGGCAUAGUAAGAAAGAAGUUGCUGGAGAUAAGAAUUACUUUAGUUACACGUGCAACCUGUCAUGCGUUCCAAUCUGCAUUUCUUCUCAGCCUUCAGUGACUGUGGCACAACAAUUAGCUCCAUUAUCUGCAAUGGAACACAAGAUGCAGCCUCUGCAUUUCUGCAUCAAGACACCAACAGAUCAUGCCUUGAUCCAACAUGUUGCGUUCAAGGACAGCUAGCAAGACAAGGUUUCGUCUCACACACUAUUAAUGAGGUACGUAUAACCCCAAAU